CAGGGAAUCUUGCGCAAUGGGCGAAAGCCUGACGCAGCGACACCGCGUGGGGGAAGAAGGCCCUUGGGUUGUAAACCCCUUUUCUCGGGGAAGAAAGAUGACGGUACCCGAGGAAUAAGGUUCGGCUAACUACGUGCCAGCAGCCGCGGUAAUACGUAGGAACCGAGCGUUGUCCGGAUUUACUGGGCGUAAAGAGCGCGUAGGCGGCCCGUUAAGUCUCAUGUGAAAUCUCCCGGCUCAACUGGGAGGGGUCAUGGGAAACUGGCAGGCUAGAGGGCAGUAGAGGAAAGCGGAAUUCCCGGAGUAGUGGUGAAAUGCGUAGAUACCGGGAGGAACACCAGUGGCGAAGGCGGCUUUCUGGGCUGCCCCUGACGCUGAGGCGCGAGAGCGUGGGGAGCGAACCGG
rnacentral:rRNA from 1 species